rnacentral:rRNA from 1 species
UGGGGAAUAUUGGACAAUGGGGGGAACCCUGAUCCAGCAAUGCCGCGUGAGUGAUGAAGGCCUUAGGGUUGUAAAGCUCUUUCGCACGCGACGAUGAUGACGGUAGCGUGAGAAGAAGCCCCGGCUAACUUCGUGCCAGCAGCCGCGGUAAUACGAAGGGGGCUAGCGUUGUUCGGAAUUACUGGGCGUAAAGGGCGCGUAGGCGGUUUGAUAAGUCAGGCGUGAAAGCCCCGGGCUCAACCUGGGAACUGCGUUUGAUACUGUUGAGCUAGAGUUCCGGAGAGGAUGGUGGAAUUCCCAGUGUAGAGGUGAAAUUCGUAGAUAUUGGGAAGAACACCGGUGGCGAAGGCGGCCAUCUGGACGGACACUGACGCUGAGGCGCGAAAGCGUGGGGAGCAAA